CCUACGGGAGGCUGCAGUGGGGAAUAUUGGACAAUGGGCGAAAGCCUGAUCCAGCCAUGCCGCGUGUGUGAAGAAGGCCUUCGGGUUGUAAAGCACUUUCAGUGGGGAAGAAAGCCUUGGGGCUAAUACCCUCGAGGAAGGACAUCACCCACAGAAGAAGCACCGGCUAACUCCGUGCCAGCAGCCGCGGUAAUACGGAGGGUGCGAGCGUUAAUCGGAAUUACUGGGCGUAAAGCGCGCGUAGGCGGUCUGAUAAGCCGGUUGUGAAAGCCCCGGGCUCAACCUGGGAACGGCAUCCGGAACUGUCAGGCUAGAGUGUAGGAGAGGAAGGUAGAAGUCCCGGUGUAGCGGUGAAAUGCGUAGAGAUCGGGAGGAAUACCAGUGGCGAAGGCGGCCUUCUGGACUGACACUGACGCUGAGGUGCGAAAGCGUGGGUAGCAAACAGGAUUAGAUACCCGAGUAGC
rnacentral:rRNA from 1 species